rnacentral:ncRNA from 2 species
UACUAGCACUGGGGGAGCCGGAAUUGGCUGAGAUUAGACUUGUAGUGGUCUUAAACCCCUGAACCUGAUCUGGGUUAUACCAGCGUAGGGAAGUGAACGAUCCAAUGC